rnacentral:rRNA from 1 species
GGGUUGUGAGGUUAAGCGACUAAGCGUACACGGUGGAUGCCCUGGCAGUCAGAGGCGAUGAAGGACGUGCUAAUCUGCGAUAAGCGUCGGUAAGGUGAUAUGAACCGUUAUAACCGGCGAUUUCCGAAUGGGGAAACCCAGUGUGAUUCGUCACACUAUCAUUAACUGAAUCCAUAGGUUAAUGAGGCGAACCGGGGGAACUGAAACAUCUAAGUACCCCGAGGAAAAGAAAUCAACCGAGAUUCCCCCAGUAGCGGCGAGCGAACGGGGAGCAGCCCAGAGCCUGAAUCAGUGUGUGUGUUAGUGGAAGCGUCUGGAAAGGCGCGCGAUACAGGGUGACAGCCCCGUACACAAAAAUGCACAUGCUGUGAGCUCGAUGAGUAGGGCGGGACACGUGGUAUCCUGUCUGAAUAUGGGGGGACCAUCCUCCAAGGCUAAAUACUCCUGACUGACCGAUAGUGAACCAGUACCGUGAGGGAAAGGCGAAAAGAACCCCGGCGAGGGGAGUGAAAAAGAACCUGAAACCGUGUACGUACAAGCAGUGGGAGCACGCUUAGGCGUGUGACUGCGUACCUUUUGUAUAAUGGGUCAGCGACUUAUAUUCUGUAGCAAGGUUAACCGAAUAGGGGAGCCGAAGGGAAACCGAGUCUUAACUGGGCGUUAAGUUGCAGGGUAUAGACCCGAAACCCGGUGAUCUAGCCAUGGGCAGGUUGAAGGUUGGGUAACACUAACUGGAGGACCGAACCGACUAAUGUUGAAAAAUUAGCGGAUGACUUGUGGCUGGGGGUGAAAGGCCAAUCAAACCGGGAGAUAGCUGGUUCUCCCCGAAAGCUAUUUAGGUAGCGCCUCGUGAAUUCAUCUCCGGGGGUAGAGCACUGUUUCGGCAAGGGGGUCAUCCCGACUUACCAACCCGAUGCAAACUGCGAAUACCGGAGAAUGUUAUCACGGGAGACACACGGCGGGUGCUAACGUCCGUCGUGAAGAGGGAAACAACCCAGACCGCCAGCUAAGGUCCCAAAGUCAUGGUUAAGUGGGAAACGAUGUGGGAAGGCCCAGACAGCCAGGAUGUUGGCUUAGAAGCAGCCAUCAUUUAAAGAAAGCGUAAUAGCUCACUGGUCGAGUCGGCCUGCGCGGAAGAUGUAACGGGGCUAAACCAUGCACCGAAGCUGCGGCAGCGACGCUGAUGCGUUGUUGGGUAGGGGAGCGUUCUGUAAGCCUGUGAAGGUGUACUGUGAGGUAUGCUGGAGGUAUCAGAAGUGCGAAUGCUGACAUAAGUAACGAUAAAGCGGGUGAAAAGCCCGCUCGCCGGAAGACCAAGGGUUCCUGUCCAACGUUAAUCGGGGCAGGGUGAGUCGACCCCUAAGGCGAGGCCGAAAGGCGUAGUCGAUGGGAAACAGGUUAAUAUUCCUGUACUUGGUGUUACUGCGAAGGGGGGACGGAGAAGGCUAUGUUGGCCGGGCGACGGUUGUCCCGGUUUAAGCGUGUAGGCUGGUUUUCCAGGCAAAUCCGGAAAAUCAAGGCUGAGGCGUGAUGACGAGGCACUACGGUGCUGAAGCAACAAAUGCCCUGCUUCCAGGAAAAGCCUCUAAGCAUCAGGUAACAUCAAAUCGUACCCCAAACCGACACAGGUGGUCAGGUAGAGAAUACCAAGGCGCUUGAGAGAACUCGGGUGAAGGAACUAGGCAAAAUGGUGCCGUAACUUCGGGAGAAGGCACGCUGAUAUGUAGGUGAAGUCCCUCGCGGAUGGAGCUGAAAUCAGUCGAAGAUACCAGCUGGCUGCAACUGUUUAUUAAAAACACAGCACUGUGCAAACACGAAAGUGGACGUAUACGGUGUGACGCCUGCCCGGUGCCGGAAGGUUAAUUGAUGGGGUUAGCGCAAGCGAAGCUCUUGAUCGAAGCCCCGGUAAACGGCGGCCGUAACUAUAACGGUCCUAAGGUAGCGAAAUUCCUUGUCGGGUAAGUUCCGACCUGCACGAAUGGCGUAAUGAUGGCCAGGCUGUCUCCACCCGAGACUCAGUGAAAUUGAACUCGCUGUGAAGAUGCAGUGUACCCGCGGCAAGACGGAAAGACCCCGUGAACCUUUACUAUAGCUUGACACUGAACAUUGAGCCUUGAUGUGUAGGAUAGGUGGGAGGCUUUGAAGUGUGGACGCCAGUCUGCAUGGAGCCGACCUUGAAAUACCACCCUUUAAUGUUUGAUGUUCUAACGUGGACCCGUAAUCCGGGUUGCGGACAGUGUCUGGUGGGUAGUUUGACUGGGGCGGUCUCCUCCUAAAGAGUAACGGAGGAGCACGAAGGUUGGCUAAUCCUGGUCGGACAUCAGGAGGUUAGUGCAAUGGCAUAAGCCAGCUUGACUGCGAGCGUGACGGCGCGAGCAGGUGCGAAAGCAGGUCAUAGUGAUCCGGUGGUUCUGAAUGGAAGGGCCAUCGCUCAACGGAUAAAAGGUACUCCGGGGAUAACAGGCUGAUACCGCCCAAGAGUUCAUAUCGACGGCGGUGUUUGGCACCUCGAUGUCGGCUCAUCACAUCCUGGGGCUGAAGUAGGUCCCAAGGGUAUGGCUGUUCGCCAUUUAAAGUGGUACGCGAGCUGGGUUUAGAACGUCGUGAGACAGUUCGGUCCCUAUCUGCCGUGGGCGCUGGAGAACUGAGGGGGGCUGCUCCUAGUACGAGAGGACCGGAGUGGACGCAUCACUGGUGUUCGGGUUGUCAUGCCAAUGGCACUGCCCGGUAGCUAAAUGCGGAAGAGAUAAGUGCUGAAAGCAUCUAAGCACGAAACUUGCCCCGAGAUGAGUUCUCCCUGACUCCUUGAGAGUCCUGAAGGAACGUUGAAGACGACGACGUUGAUAGGCCGGGUGUGUAAGCGCAGCGAUGCGUUGAGCUAACCGGUACUAAUGAACCGUGAGGCUUAACCUUACAACGCCGAAG